rnacentral:rRNA from 1 species
UACGGGGGGGGCAAGCGUUGUUCGGAAUUACUGGGCGUAAAGGGCGCGUAGGCGGCGCGGGAAGUCGGCGGUGAAAGCUCGGGGCUCAACCCCGAGUCGGCCGUCGAUACUCUCGGGCUCGAGCACUGUAGAGGCAGAUGGAAUUCCGGGUGUAGCGGUGGAAUGCGUAGAGAUCCGGAAGAACACCGGUGGCGAAGGCGGUCUGCUGGGCAGUGGCCGACGCUGAGGCGCGACAGCGUGGGGAGCAAACAGG